rnacentral:rRNA from 1 species
GCAUAUUGCGCAUCGUGCGACACAGCUCGAUGUACACAUUUUUGAGUGCCUAU